rnacentral:rRNA from 1 species
AAUGAACGCUGGCGGCAGGCCUAACACAUGCAAGUCGAACGGAUCCUUCGGGAUUAGUGGCGGACGGGUGAGUAACGCGUGGGAACAUACCCUUUGGUACGGAAUAGCCUCGGGAAACUGGGAGUAAUACCGUAUGUGGUCGAGAGACGAAAGAUUUAUCGCAAAAGGAUUGGGCCGCGUUGGAUUAGGUGGUUGGUGGGGUAAUGGCCUACCAAGCCGACGAUCCAUAGCCGGUUUGUGAGGAUGAUCAGCCACACUGGGACUGAGACACGGGCCAGACUCUUACGGGAUGCAGCAGUGGGGAAUCUUGGACAAUGGGGGAAACCCUGAUCUAGCCUUGACGCGUGAUUGAUGAAGGCCUUAGGGUUGUAAAGAUCUUUCAGGUGGGAAGAUAAUGACUGUACCACCAGAAGAAGCCCCGGCUAACUCCGUGCCAGCCGCCGCCGUAA